UACAGAGGGGGCAAGCGCUAUUCGGAAUUAUUGGGCGUAAAGGGCGCGUAGGCGGCUUUUCAAGUGACGGGUGAAAUCCCUCGGCUUAACCGAGGAACUGCCUGUCAGACUGGAAGGCUUGAGACCGGGAGAGGUGAGUGGAAUUCCCAGUGUAGCGGUGAAAUGCGUAGAUAUUGGGAGGAACACCAGUGGCGAAGGCGGCUCACUGGACCGGAACUGACGCUGAGGCGCGAAAGCGUGGGGAGCAAACAGG
rnacentral:rRNA from 1 species